UGCGUAGGGGGCUAGCGUUGUCCGGAAUCAUUGGGCGUAAAGAGCGUGUAGGCGGCCAGGUAGGUCUGCUGUGAAAACUCGAGGCUCAACCUCGAGCUGUCGGCGGAAACCAUCUGGCUAGAGUCCGGAAGAGGAGAGUGGAAUUCCUGGUGUAGCGGUGAAAUGCGCAGAUAUCAGGAAGAACACCCGUGGCGAAGGCGGCUCUCUGGGACGGUACUGACGCUGAGACGCGAAAGCGUGGGGAGCGAACAGG
rnacentral:rRNA from 1 species